CAGCAGUGAGCCCAAUGCGGGGCUUGAACUCAAGAACAAGGAGAUCAUGACCUGAGCUAAAGUUGGAUGCUCAACUGACUGAGCCACCCAGGUGCCCCCAAAUACCCAUUCUUAAUUCUUUCCUGGAACGCAAGGGGAAUUUGUAUAAAAUGAAGCAUUUGACUUUGAUCUACACAACCUUCGUCCUGUGAAUCAGUCAUUCUGAGAAGAAAAUGAAUGGCAAUUAUUCGAUCUCCUGCAUAGCUCAUUUGAUUUCUUUGAAGGAGGAAGGAGGCUGAUUAAAACAUACAUAUUUCUUUCUGAAGUUAUUUUUUUCUUAUCAUUACCCCUAGUAAAAUGUUUUCUGUUACAAACUUA